rnacentral:rRNA from 1 species
GACGAACGCUGGCGGCGUGCCUAACACAUGCAAGUCGAACGGGGAGUUAGCAAUAACUCCUAGUGGCGAACGGGUGAGUAACGCGUAGACAACCUGCCUCUAAACUGGGGACAACACCGCGAAAGUGGUGCUAAUACCGAAUGUGGUAACUUGAUCGCAUGAUCGAGUUAAGAAAGAUGGCCUCUAUUUAUAAGCUAUCGAUUAGAGAUGGGUCUGCGUCUGAUUAGCUAGUUGGUGAGGUAAUGGCUCACCAAGGCGACGAUCAGUAGCCGGUCUGAGAGGAUGAACGGCCACACUGGGACUGAGACACGGCCCAGACUCCUACGGGAGGCAGCAGUGGGGAAUCUUCCGCAAUGGACGAAAGUCUGACGGAGCAACGCCGCGUGAGUGAAGAAGGUCUUCGGAUUGUAAAGCUCUGUCGUUUGGGACGAACGUGGGUAGUGUGAAUAAUGCUAUCUAAUGACGGUACCAAAGGAGGAAGCCACGGCUAACUACGUGCCAGCAGCCGCGGUAA